GGAGGGUACAGCUCAGUGGUAGAGUGCAUGCUUAGCAUGCAUGAGGUCCUAGGUUCAAUUCCCAGUCUCUCCA
rnacentral:tRNA from 1 species